GACAGAGGUGCCAAGCGUUAGGCGGAAUCACUGGGCUUAAAGCGUGUGUAGGCGGAUUGUAAGUACCUUGUGAAAUCCCACGGCUCAACCGUGGAACUGCUCGGUAUACUGCUUAUCUUGAGCCACUUAGGGGCUACCGGAACAAAUGGUGGAGCGGUGAAAUGCGUAGAUAUCAUUUGGAACGCCAAUGGUGAAAACAGGUAGCUGGGAGUGUGCUGACGCUGAGACACGAAAGCCAGGGGAGCAAAACGGG
rnacentral:rRNA from 1 species